rnacentral:rRNA from 2 species
AGAGUUUGAUCCUGGCUCAGGACGAACGCUGGCGGCGUGCUUAACACAUGCAAGUCGAACGGUAAGGCCCUUUCGGGGUACACGAGUGGCGAACGGGUGAGUAACACGUGGGUGACCUGCCCUGUACUUCGGGAUAAGCCUGGGAAACUGGGUCUAAUACCGGAUAUGACCUUCUCCUGCAUGGGGGUUGGUGGAAAGUUUUUGCGGUACAGGAUGGGCCCGCGGCCUAUCAGCUUGUUGGUGGGGUAAUGGCCUACCAAGGCGACGACGGGUAGCCGGCCUGAGAGGGCGACCGGCCACACUGGGACUGAGACACGGCCCAGACUCCUACGGGAGGCAGCAGUGGGGAAUAUUGCACAAUGGGCGAAAGCCUGAUGCAGCGACGCCGCGUGAGGGAUGACGGCCUUCGGGUUGUAAACCUCUUUCAGUAGGGACGAAGCGCAAGUGACGGUACCUACAGAAGAAGCACCGGCCAACUACGUGCCAGCAGCCGCGGUAAUACGUAGGGUGCGAGCGUUGUCCGGAUUUACUGGGCGUAAAGAGCUCGUAGGCGGUUUGUCACGUCGUCUGUGAAAACCCGAGGCUUAACCUCGGGCCUGCAGGCGAUACGGGCAGACUUGAGUACUGUAGGGGAGACUGGAAUUCCUGGUGUAGCGGUGGAAUGCGCAGAUAUCAGGAGGAACACCGGUGGCGAAGGCGGGUCUCUGGGCAGUAACUGACGCUGAGGAGCGAAAGCGUGGGUAGCGAACAGGAUUAGAUACCCUGGUAGUCCACGCCGUAAACGGUGGGUACUAGGUGUGGGUUUCCUUCCACGGGAUCCGUGCCGUAGCUAACGCAUUAAGUACCCCGCCUGGGGAGUACGGCCGCAAGGCUAAAACUCAAAGGAAUUGGCGGGGGCCCGCACAAGCGGCGGAGCAUGUGGAUUAAUUCGAUGCAACGCGAAGAACCUUACCUGGGUUUGACAUAUAGAGGAUCGCCGGAGAGAUUCGGUUUGCCUUGUGCCUUCUAUACAGGUGGUGCAUGGCUGUCGUCAGCUCGUGUCGUGAGAUGUUGGGUUAAGUCCCGCAACGAGCGCAACCCUUGUCUCAUGUUGCCAGCACGUAAUGGUGGGGACUCGUGAGAGACUGCCGGGGUCAACUCGGAGGAAGGUGGGGAUGACGUCAAGUCAUCAUGCCCCUUAUGUCCAGGGCUUCACACAUGCUACAAUGGCGCGUACAGAGGGCUGCGAUACCGUGAGGUGGAGCGAAUCCCUUAAAGCGCGUCUCAGUUCGGAUUGGGGUCUGCAACUCGACCCCAUGAAGUCGGAGUCGCUAGUAAUCGCAGAUCAGCAACACUGCGGUGAAUACGUUCCCGGGCCUUGUACACACCGCCCGUCACGUCAUGAAAGUCGGUAACACCCGAAGCCGGUGGCCUAACCCCUUGUGGGAGGGAGCUGUCGAAGGUGGGAUUGGCGAUUGGGACGAAGUCGUAACAAGGUAGCCGUACCGGAAGGUGCGGCUGGAUCACCUCCUU